CUACGGGCGGCAGCAGUUAAGAAUCUUCUACAAUGCGCGCAAGCGUGAUAGAGCGAGCCAGAGUGCUUUUCCAAAUGGAAAGGCUUUUGCCAAAUGUAAAUAGUUUGGCGAAUAAGGACCGGGAAAGAUUGGUGCCAGCCGCCGCGGUAAUACCAACGGUUCAAGUCGCAGCCAUAUUUAUUAGGUCUAAAACAUCCGUAGCUUGCUUUUGAAGUCUUCUGUGAAAUCCCUUAUCUCAAGUAAGGAGCGUACAGGAGAUACUGUAUAGCUAGAGACCGGAAGACGUGAGAAGUACGUGAGGGGUAUCGGUAACAUGAGUUGAUCCCUUGCGGACUAACGAUAGCGAAGGCAUCUCACGAGAACGGAUCUGACAGUCAGGGAUGAAGGCUAGGGUCGCGAAAAGGAUUAGAUACCCUCGUAGUC
rnacentral:rRNA from 1 species